rfam:Thaumarchaeota archaeon N4, WGS project CBTY01000000 data, contig: APF_1883_Contig_4
CAAGCCGGCCACAGCGUUGGGGCGCGACCCAGUCUCUUUCCGAACCUGGAAGUCAAACCCAAUGUCGCUACUGUGCUACUAAGGUGCGAGAGCCCUUGGGAAGCAGUAGUGCUGGCAUCU